AGCAGCCGCGGUAAUUCCGGCUCCAAUAGCGUAUAUUAAAGUUGUUGCAGUUAAAAAGCUCGUAGUUGAAUUUCGGGAUCAAAUUGUCGGUCGUGCCUCGGUACGUACUGGUAUUAUUGGUUCCUCCCUUCUGAAGAACCGCGAUGUCAUUAAUUUGGUGUCGCGGGGAAUCAGGACUGUUAUUUUGAAAAAAUUAGAGUGUUUAAAGCAGGCUCGCGCUUGAAUACAUUAGCAUGGAAUAGUGAAAUAGGACGUUUGAUUCUAUUUUGUUGGUUUCUAGGAUCGACGUAAUGAUUAAUAGGGAUAGUUGGGGGCAUUAGUAUUCAAUUGUCAGAGGUGAAAUUCUUGGAUUUAUUGAAGACUAACUACUGCGAAAGCAUUUGCCAAGGAUGUUUUCAUUAAUCAAGAACGAAAGUUAGGGAUCGAAGACGAUCAGNUACCGUGUAGUCUUAACCAUAACUAUGCCGACUAGGGAUCGGGAUGAUGUUAAUUUUUAAUGUACUNAUUCGGCGCCUUACGG
rnacentral:rRNA from 1 species